rnacentral:rRNA from 1 species
UCUUGGUCAUUUAGAGGAAGUAAAAGUCGUAACAAGGUUUCCGUAGGUGAACCUGCGGAAGGAUCAUUAUUGAAUAAAUUUGGUUGGGUUGCUGCUGGCUCUUAGGAGCAUGUGCACGCCUGGCACCAUUUUUACCACCUGUGCACCUUUUGUAGACUUGGACAAUUCUCGAGGCAACUCGGAUUGAGGAUCUGCUGUGCGAAAGCCAGCUUUCCUUGAGUUCUGGUCUAUGAUUUUAUAUACCCCAUAAGAAUGUAAUAGAAUGUUUUUAUCGGCCUUUGUGCCUUUAAUCUAAUACAACUUUCAACAACGGAUCUCUUGGCUCUCGCAUCGAUGAAGAACGCAGCGAAAUGCGAUAAGUAAUGUGAAUUGCAGAAUUCAGUGAAUCAUCGAAUCUUUGAACGCACCUUGCGCUCCUUGGUAUUCCGAGGAGCAUGCCUGUUUGAGUGUCAUUAAAUUCUCAACCUCUUCAGCUUUUGCGAGCUUUGUCGAGGCUUGGAUGUGGGGGCUGCGGGCUUCUCAGAAGUCGGCUCUCCUGAAAUGCAUUAGUGAGACCUUUGUUGACUGUCUCUGGUGUGAUAAUUAUCUACGCCACAGUGGGUCAACUUUAAUGUGGGGUCUUGCUUAUAACUGUCCUUACGGACAAUUUUUUGACUAUUUGACCUCAAAUCAGGUAGGACUACCCGCUGAACUUAAGCAUAUCAAUAAGCCGGAGGAA